GACGAACGCUGGCGGCAUGCCUAAUACAUGCAAGUCGAGCGGGGUGUUUUCGAAAGCUUGCUUUCGAAAACACUUAGCGGCGGACGGGUGAGUAACACGUAGGCAACCUGCCUUAUAGUCUGGGAUAACUUCCGGAAACGGAUGCUAAUACCGGAUACAUCAUUUUCCGGCAUCGGAGAAUGAGGAAAGACGGUGCAAGCUGUCACUAUAAGAUGGGCCUGCGGCGCAUUAGCUAGUUGGUGGGGUAAUGGCUCACCAAGGCGACGAUGCGUAGCCGACCUGAGAGGGUGAACGGCCACACUGGGACUGAGACACGGCCCAGACUCCUACGGGAGGCAGCAGUAGGGAAUCUUCCACAAUGGGCGAAAGCCUGAUGGAGCAAUGCCGCGUGAGUGAUGAAGGUUUUCGGAUCGUAAAGCUCUGUUGCCAGGGAAGAACGUCCAGGUGAGUAACUGCACCUGGAGUGACGGUACCUGAGAAGAAAGCCCCGGCUAACUACGUGCCAGCCGCCGCCGUAACAC
rnacentral:rRNA from 1 species